rnacentral:rRNA from 1 species
GACAGAGGGUGCGAACGUUGUUCGGAAUUACUGGGCGUAAAGCGCAUGUAGGCGGCAGCGCAAGUCGGGCGUGAAAUCCCACGGCUCAACCGUGGAAGUGCACUCGAAACUGCGCAGCUAGAGUCCUGGAGAGGAAGGUGGAAUGCUUGGUGUAGAGGUGAAAUGCGCAGAUAUCAGGAGGAACACCGGUGGCGAAGGCGGAUCUCUGGGCCUGAUCUGACGCUGAGGCGCGAAAGCUAGGGGAGCGAACAGG